UGAGAGCAAAUUAAUAAAUGUUAGAGACGCUGGAGGAGUCAUUUCGAAAACAACUUUCCACUUGACAAAAUGUUGAGGGUCCCAUAAACAUUGUAGGAGAGUGAUGGACCACCGCAAUUAGUUUCUCUGUGCAUUUGAUACAGACGUGGAAACGCUGGACUUUGAUUUCCUAAGGCUUCUUGCUGAGAUUACAUUUGUCUGCGAAUCGACCCUUCCCCGUAAAGCAGCAUAACUACGCUACUGGCUUUAUGAAAGCCCCCUCAAUUUAGCAACAACACGGGCGGCUAGCAUGCUAACGCUGGCAUCAUCUACUUGGCCAAUGAGCGAGAUAGCGGCUAACAAGGCGACGCAGAAGCAGCGGAGCUCACCGGAGAUCCCACAGCAGUUAAACUUGAAUAAAGCUCGGCUCCUCGACGGCCUGGAAAACCUUUGGAAAUCCUUCAAAAGCGCUUCCGUCGCAGCAUCGGGCCUUAAUAGUACAUGCCGCGUACAAAUAACUUAGUAAAAUGGGACUUCAACUAUUUACAAUGCUGCUUUUCUUUCUAUCUUUUAGGCCCCUGGAUCAUUCCGCUAUGGCGAAGGGGAAGCGGAACUACCGACCCAGCCCUAGUCUUCUCAAUAAAUGGUUCAAAUGAAUGCUGCCGUGCGAAGCUUCUCCGCUCCCCGGAGCCACUAAUUGCACGUCGCUGGCCAAAUUGCACUGAUAACACUCCAAACGCGAACAGCACCUAUUACACAGCACAAGGAGAUCUAUAAGCAAGUAACGUCAUCGGCUGGAACUUCAGAAACGGCGCGUUAAAUUAAGUCGAAAAGCAUUUUAGGUUGUGCAGUUCAUCGUUUAUUGUGCGUGACGCGAUUGCUGAUAAACGCUAAUAAAUAUUGGAUAAAAAUACGAGCCCUGUUUAAGUAGGGUCGAACUGGUCAUGCAAACUUCCGUGGGAAAUAUUUAAAUUAACUCACGCUGCACUGAGGAAAUUUGAAUAUUAUCAAUCGUCAUACAUAAACAGGUUUUCUGGCACAAAGAGUCUGAUGUCACGUCAUCGUGAUGUUUGUUGCUGCAGCACACACACAAUAAUAAUAGUAAUAAGAAUAACAACAAUGCUACUAAUAAUAACAAUGCGUGUAUAUAUACACGAACCCCGCAUGCAGAUGGUUAUAUGAGCCUGUGCUCAUAGCUUACAAUUAUUUGUUGAAGGAAAUAGACUAACAAAAUAGAACAAACACUUUAUUGUAAAAACAAAAUGAAAACACACAGUAGCUGGGCUUUUUUAUUAAUAUCUGGAGUUUCAAUAUUGUUUGCAAUUGGGUUAAAGAUUGAUUUGUAGCUAGACCACAUUCAUGAAGUAAUAAGUUCAUUCAUGGCCUGGGGCCAUGACCAAAAGGUAGAAAAUAGGCAAAACACGUUUGUUUACUCGUAGUAACUGUGGCCUGUAAAAGGUAUGUUAUGUGGAUUACUUUGCAUUGUUUGUUGUUGAUUGAUUGUUGUUGUUAUGACACCUAUAUUCAAUUAUAAAACUGGACUGUAAAUUGGUCCAUUCUCUGUUUAAGUGAUCUGAAUAGACAAGAUUAUCUUUUCUUACUUAAACGUUACAUUUUCUGUAUGAGCGGUGUCUUUGUCUGUAAUGACUAAAAGUAUCUCUCUGUUCCAAAA